ACCAGGGGCAAUGGCACGUGCCUGUAGUUCCAGCUACUCUGGAAGCUGAGGUGGGAGGAUCGCCUGAGCCCAGGAGUUCUGGGCUGUAGUGCGCUAUACCAAUUGGGUGUCUGCACUAAGUUCAGCAUCAAUAUGGUGAUCUCCCGGGAGCAGGGGGCCACCAGGUUGCCUAAGGAGGGGUGAACCGGCCCAGGUCAGAAACUUCGGAGCAGGUCAAAACUCCCAUUCUGAUCAGUAGUGGGAUCACACCUGUGAAUAGCCACUGCACUCCAGCCUGGGCAACGUAGUGAGACUCUGUCUCU
rnacentral:SRP_RNA from 1 species